UUGGAAUCUCGGAAGGGGAAGCUGAGGCGGACCUUCUGGUGGGACCUCUCUUAAUCCUCGAUGCUCCUUGGGACCUCCAGAGAGGGGAAGUGGAAAAAACAGACUUGGGGGCCCAAGGUGAAUCUCAUGUGAUAGAAGCUGAGGCUGACUCUACAGUUGGACGUCAGUUUAUCCUCAAGGCAGACGAAGGACUCGGAUGGCUCCUGGAUUCCGAUAAGGCUGUGACAACAACUGAUGAUGCACCACACACCAAAUCUGAAAACGUUGUUGUGGCCAAGCUAACCUCUGCUACAGAUGAAAGCUUGCGUGAACUGGCACCCUCUGUGGAGAUAACAAAGUUGUCCCUGCAAGGCACUGCAUCACAGAAGGGGACUGUCCUGGAACGAAUCCAAACCACAGCAGCUGCUGUCGUGGUGCUUGUCCUGUUGAGCUGCAUCUUCUAGAUACGUGGAUAAAUCCAUUUGCUUGUAUAUUGAAAACGGAGGUUUUUUUCUUGCAGCCUGAAACUGUAGAGCUGGCAACAAUUGUGUUUAUGUAAUGUCUGCUGCACAAGCAAAGCUUGUGGCCAGGUGGUUCAUCCUCUGCAAGGGCUUAAGCAAAAUGGACUACUGAAAUGAAAAAUA